rnacentral:rRNA from 1 species
GAAUAUAUAUAACCCUCUACAGCCUGCAGCCAUGCCCCAAGUCAUCAGGUCCCAGAAGUUAAACAGGGUCCAGCCAAGUUAGCAUUUUGUUGGGAGACUGUAUGGUAAGCGACGGUAUAGUCC